UCUAUGUGUCCAUGUGUUCUCAUCAUUUAGCUCCCUCUUAGAAGUGUCAACAUGUGGUAUGUGGUUUUCUGUUCCUGUGUCAGUUUGCUAAGGAUAAUGGCCUCCAGCUCCAUUCAUGUCCCUGCAAAGGACAUGAUCUCAUUCUUUUUUAUGGCUGCAUAGUAGUUCAUUGAGUAUAUGUACCAUAUUUUCUUUACCCACUCUAUCAUUGAUGGGCAUUUAGGUUGAUUCCAUGUCUUUGCUAUUGUGAAUAGUUGAAUCUUUCAAUACAUACAUCCUACAGACUUGUUUUUUCCAGUGGAAACUUGACUGACUACAUCAGUUUCUUUUGGUUACGGUUUUCAUGGUAUGUCUUUUUUCAUCCUUCUACACACAACCUCCCCUAUAUUUAUCUUUUAUGUAGAUCUCUUAUAAACAACGUAUAGCUACACUUUCCCCCAGUCUUACUAUGCUGGUAUUUUAACUGUAGCAUUUAAUUCACUUGUGCUUAAUGUGAUUCUUAGACUGUAUUUGAGUCUAAAUACAGAAUCUUAUACUUGUAUUCUACAUGUUCUAUCCAUCCUUUUUUUCUUUAAUCUCUUAUUUCUUGUCUUCUCUGGUUUGACUGAAUAAUGUUUCUAUCACCUUUUAUACUUCCUCUAGUUCACAGGUGGUAAACUUGGCUUCGAAUCUUUAAGUAAAUUUCCUCGAGAUUACAAUAAUAAAUUAUCCAAAUGUAACAUUCAUCAUAACAUUUAAUUUUCUCUGGAAAAAUAUAAAGACUUUAUGUAAUAUAAAUUCUAUUUACACUCUUCUGAACUUUAUGUUAUUAUAGUUUCUGGGCUAUAUAAUAUUGGUAUUUCAAUAUUACAUUUGAUGUUUGACCCCUCUACAAACCAUCAUUUUUACAACAAGUAUUUGUUUCAUUUUGCUCACAUAUUUGCUACUUUCCUAGGUUUUCAUUUUUUUUGGAUCUCAAAAAUCUAAUCUGGGAUCACUUUCCUAAUACCUGAAUUAUAUGUUUUAGAAUUUAUUUGAGAAAUCUUUUCUUUAUUAACACUCACAUAUUUUGGUUUUCCUUAAAAUAUCUAUAUUUCACUUUCAGUCUUAAAAUGUGUUUUCAUUGAGUAGGCUUUCUAAAACAACAUUUAUUUCUCUUAAGCCAUCAAAGACAUCUUUCUAUUGCAUUUAGCCUUCCAAUAUUGCUCCUAAAAAAGUCAGCUGUCAGUCUAAUUGUGGUUUUUUGCUUGUUUGUUUGUUUUGUUUUGCUUUUUCUGAGUUGGAGUCUCGCUCUGUUGCCCAGGCUGGAGUGCAGUGAUGCAAUCUCAGCUCACUUCAACCUCCACCUCCCAGGUUCAAGCAAUUCUCCUGCUUCAACCUGCAGAAGUACCUGGGAUUACA
rnacentral:lncRNA from 10 species